GUCCACGCCCUAAACGUUGGGCACUAGGUGUGGGAGGUAUUGACCCCUUCCGUGCCGCAGCUAACGCGAUAAGUGCCCCGCCUGGGGAGUACGGCCGCAAGGCUAAAAACUCAAAGGAAUUGACGGGGGCCCGCACAAGCAGCGGAGCGUGUGGUUUAAUUCGAUGCAACGCGAAGAACCUUACCAGGGCUUGACAUGCUGGUGGUACCGAGCCGAAAGGUGAGGGACCCCUCGGGGAGCCAGUGCAGGUGUUGCAUGGCUGUCGU
rnacentral:rRNA from 1 species